UCAUAUGGGCGCAGCCUGAUGCAGCGACGCCGCGUGAGGGAUGACGGCCUUCGGGUUGUAAACCUCUUUCAGCACGGAAGAAGCGAAAGUGACGGUACGUGCAGAAGAAGCGCCGGCUAACUACGUGCCAGCAGCCGCGGUAAUACGUAGGGCGCAAGCGUUGUCCGGAAUUAUUGGGCGUAAAGAGCUCGUAGGCGGUUUGUCGCGUCUGCUGUGAAAGCCCGGGGCUUAACCCCGGGUGUGCAGUGGGUACGGGCAGACUUGAGUGCAGUAGGGGAGACUGGAACUCCUGGUGUAGCGGUGAAAUGCGCAGAUAUCAGGAAGAACACCGAUGGCGAAGGCAGGUCUCUGGGCUGUUACUGACGCUGAGGAGCGAAAGCAUGGGGAGCGAACAGGAUUAGAUACCCUGGUAGUCCAUGCCGUAAACGUUGGGCACUAGGUGUGGGGGACAUUCCACGUUUUCCGCGCCGUAGCUAACGCAUUAAGUGCCCCGCCUGGGGAGUACGGCCGCAAGGCUAAAACUCAAAGAAAAUUUGACGGA
rnacentral:rRNA from 1 species